AGGGCCUAUCCGCUGCGCUCUGUCCACAGCUGGAUGUCGGAAAUGGUAGUUGCGUGCAGCUUUCAAGGCCGCCCCCGCCCUCGCGGAAACUUUGCAUCUAUAAGGGGCGGUUCCCGGAAGGCGGGUAACGCCGAGUUCUGCUAGCCUGCUACUUGGGAGACCCAGCCGGAGGCAAUGGUGUCAGCUAAGAGAAUGACUUGUGGCUGGGAUCGUCCCUUCCAAGAAGCUCUCGGUCGCAUUCCAGCGUCUCGGUGGAGUCGAUGGUGGUACAAGAGUCAUAGCCCGCUCCGGAGAAGAGGCAAGUCACAGUCUCGUUCCUGAAGGCGCCAGAAGAGAAAUUACAGGCGCCGCUCGCUAUUCUGCUGGAGAUGAAAUGGAGCUAUUAGCACUAGCAAAAGCCUGCACAGCUAAAUCCUUAGGAAUAGCCAACCUUGACCUGCCAGCUAGUCUCAGAACUGUUACUGGAGUUAAAGAAACAGUGGAACAGCUGUACCAAAUACCGCAAAGCUCGAAGUAAACCAGAUUUAUCCAAACAAAACUUUAAGAAAAACUACUCUUAGAAAGAUCUGGUGAACCAUUUUUGUUUGAUUUACCUUAGGUUACACUCCUCAGAAAACCUAGCUGAAUGUAAUUUGCCAAAGUCAAAAUAACAGAUCUGAAAACAGUAGACAGGCUCUCACUCAUGAAAGUGGAACAGUAACGAACUUUGUUUUGGGGAACCAACUGGAGCAGAUUGGGACUGUUCCCGAAAGUCCCAUUUUCUAAGACAUCUGUCCUGGGUGAAAAUGCCCUGGUUUUCAGCAGUGAGUGCAAAUAUUUGAGGGGAGCGCAGGGGUACAAAACCUAUAUUGUGGCCCUCCCAAGAGAGGCUGAAGACAACACCCUUUUUUAUGAAUGAAUAUGGUGAUUGUCUGCCUUCUGUUAACCACUGAUACCGGCAAUCUGGAUUUGUGUGGUUCACAUAGUAUAUCUACAUAACAUAGCAUUCUCUCAGAGCAGCUUAAAUUCCAGACAGGAGCGUUAACAGGCCAGUUAACUUUUGUGCUUUGCAUGGAGAUAGUGCUCAUGUAAUUUUUAACUUUGUGAAUAUUGAGACCAUGGUUUCUAAGAGUUCAGAUAUGAAAAUGAGAAUGAGUUCAAUACCAAUGCCAGCCUGACAGUACCAAAAAGAAGACUAAAUGGCCCUGGUUUUUUACAGUUUCUUCUUCUUUCUUUCUUUCUUUCUCUCUUUCUCUCUUUCUCUCUUUCUCUUCCUCUCUCUCUCUUUCUCUCUCUUUCUCUCUCUCUCUCUCUUUCUUUCUCUCUCUCUCUCUCUUUCUCUCUUUUUAGGGCCACAGUCGAGGCCUAUGGAGGUUCCCAGGCUAGGGGUCCAAUUGGAGCUGUAGCCACUGGCCUACGCCACAGCCACAGCAACUCCGGAUCCGAACCUGUGUCAUCAUGAAUACUAGUUGGGUUGGUUAACCACUGAGCCAUGACGGGAACUCUGGCUCUGUUAUUUUAAUGACAGAUAGAAGGACACUGGAUUAGGGAUGUAAAUAAUCCAGCAUACUGUACAAUAUGCAGGAAAAGAAUUUGGGGUUGGCCAUGGUGGAGAAGGGGAUGUGAAAACAUGUAUGGAGACUGAAUCCCACAAGUCUGGAAUGAGACAAGCAGGCACUUUUGAAUCAAUACAGUGUUUUCAUUGCCCUGAAGGACACCAGCACUCAGUCAAAAAUAGCAGCUGCUGAAUUAGCUUGGGCAUACCACGAAAGGAUGAACAUGCCUUGUCCUAUUGCUCCCUUGAUUGCUUAGUGAAACUGAAUAAAGUUAUAUUUCCAGAUUCA
rnacentral:lncRNA from 1 species